rnacentral:rRNA from 1 species
ACAGGUGCUGCAUGGCUGUCGUCAGCUCGUGUCGUGAGAUGUUGGGUUAAGUCCCGCAACGAGCGCAACCCUUGCCUUUAGUUGCCAGCGAGUUCGGCUGGGCACUCUAAAGGGACUGCCGGUGUUAAACCGGAGGAAGGUGGGGAUGACGUCAAGUCCUCAUGGCCUUUAUGACCAGGGCUACACACGUACUACAAUGGCCGAUACAAAGGGCAGCGACACUGCGAGGUGAAGCCAAUCCCGUAAAAUCGAUCUCAGUCCGGAUUGGAGUCUGCAACUCGACUCCAUGAAGUUGGAAUCGCUAGUAAUCGUGGAUCAGCAUGCCACGGUGGAAUACGUUCCCGGGCCUU